UACGAAGGUCCCAAGCGUUGUUCGGAAUCACUGGGCGUAAAGGGUGCGUAGGCGGCGAGGUAAGUCAGAUGUGAAAUUCUCGAGCUCAACUUGGGGACUGCAUCCGAUACUACUUUGCUUGAGUAGCGGAGGGGAGUCUGGAAUUCACGGUGUAGCAGUGAAAUGCGUAGAGAUCGUGAGGAACACUAGUAGCGAAGGCGAGACUCUGGACGUUUACUGACGCUGAGGCACGAAGGCCAGGGGAGCAAAAGGG
rnacentral:rRNA from 1 species